rnacentral:rRNA from 3 species
CGACUCUCGGCAACGGAUAUCUUGGCUCUCGCAUCGAUGAAGAACGUAGCGAAAUGCGAUACUUGGUGUGAAUUGCAGAAUCCCGUGAACCAUCGAGUCUUUGAACGCAAGUUGCGCCCGAGGCUAUCCGGCCGAGGGCACGC